rnacentral:sRNA from 1 species
AGACAUUGAUCUUUUGGGCCUUAAGGGCCAG